AGGGCCUCAAGGUUCAACAUAGAGUUACCAUCUGGCCCGGCAAUUUCACUCCUGAGUAUACGCCCGGAAGAACCGAAGACAGGCGUUCUCACAAAAAUCUGUAGAGGAGUGUUCACAGAAGCUCCAUUCACAGCAGACACAAGGUGGACACAGCCCAGUGCCCACGGAGAGAUGAGUGGACAGACAGAAUGCGGUCCAUCCAUCGAUGUCUGUAGGAUAUGUGCAACACGUCCACACCAUGGGCUAUGAUUCAGCCAGGGAAAGGAACGGAGCACUGACACCUGCCACGACGCGGAUGGACCUUGAAAACAUGAUGCUGAGUGAGAGACGCCAGACCCCAAAGGCCACGUACUGUGCGAUUCUUUAUAUGAAACGUCCAGAAUAGGCUAAAAACGGAAGGGUGGAAGACUAGAGCCACAUCCACUGAGCACGAACACGUUUCAGAAGGCCUUCGGAAGGGACAGCCCACUGCAGAGGGACAGGUGGCAGACGCCACUGACGGCGCCCACAUCCCCUCGGCCCCGGGCCCGGGUGCUAGGCACAGCUCCAGGCCAUCGCGCGGCCACCGCAGGCCCCCGCGACCCUUCCCCGAGGACUUGCUCUGCCCACAGGGGCCCCCUUCAACCUUGAGACCCAGGGUGGCCCUCGCUGAGCUGCCCCUGCAUGCGCCGCCAGCGCUGGGGGAGCGGCCUGCUGCCCACACACACCCGCUGCCAGCUCCCAUCGCCGUCCCUCUGCUCUCUCCCCGCGCUGGCCUUCCUGGACCUCCCCCACAGAAAGUGCACCCCGUCCUCUUGGGAUCUGCUCUCAAGGGAACCCGCGCUUAGACGACAUCACCCGUAGAAGGUCUGAAACCACGGAACACCGCGCGACCCGGGGAUCGAGGAGGGCCCGAGGCAGGAAGGCCACCGUCACAGCCGGAGGCAGACGGCGUCGGCGAGUGGAACCCAAAAGCAAAGGCGGGAGGAGGCUGAGACUGGAGCCUUCUGACCUCAGCCAGCUGGAUUUCCAGGUAACAACGGGCUCUGUGUCCUCAGAGUCCCACUCAAGGGGCCAGUGCCUGCCUGCAACAUGCGUGGGACCCCCGUCUCCGGGACCACAGAGGGUGAGCAGGAAGGAGAGAUGUCCACCGCCGCAGGCCCUUGGCUGGGGCCUAACCCAACCCUUCCCAAAGCCGUUCUGUUCUGGGGCACAGCACUCACGAAAGGUCUCGGGGCGCCGUGUCCCCUCCCUGGAGAGUUGCAUUAAUGGCCCCAAUUCAUCUCUCUCUGUAGCCACACUCUCCGCUUGUUACUUGUUUUUCC
rnacentral:lncRNA from 1 species